rnacentral:rRNA from 1 species
UACGUAGGGUGCAAGCGUUGUCCGGAAUUAUUGGGCGUAAAGAGCUCGUAGGCGGCUUGUCACGUCUGCUGUGAAAACUCGGGGCUCAACCCCGAGCCUGCAGUGGAUACGGGCUAGCUAGAGUGCGGUAGGGGAGACUGGAAUUCCUGGUGUAGCGGUGAAAUGCGCAGAUAUCAGGAGGAACACCGGUGGCGAAGGCGGGUCUCUGGGCCGUAACUGACGCUGAGGAGCGAAAGCGUGGGGAGCGAACAGG